rnacentral:lncRNA from 1 species
CUUGCAUUCAUGGGGUGCAAAGGUGUGAUAUAAAUAUCAACAUGAUGCAUAUGACAAGAUAUAGCACUUCAUCAAAGUGGAAAUAACAAUACACCAAGCAUAUGACAAGAUAUAAUCAUCACAAAUGAUUUAGAGAUAUGAACCACACUAGCAAGUCACAAAUAAGUCUUACAAAUUUAAAAGGUUCACUUGGCACACCAAGCAUCACACCAUACAUAGGUCUCACAUGUCCACAAGCCAAAACUAGAAAAACUCAAAAGAUAAAGAUAACUCCAUCCAUCCAUGGUGAGCUCACGCCCCCUUUGGCAUCAAGCUCCAAAAAGGGGAGGCCCUUCCAUGGCCAUCACUUGCCAUCCUCAUCAUCAUCCUCAUCACCAUCAUCUUCUUCUUCUUCAUCCUCAAGAGUGUGAGCCUCGGGAAUAUCUUCAUCUUCCUCCUCGAAGUCCUCCUGCCCACCAAAGUCCUC